UGAGGUGGAGCAAAACUCAAAAAAUAGAUCUCAGUUCGGACUGUAGGCUGCAACUCGCCUACACGAAGUUGGAAUUGCUAGUAAUCGUGGAUCAGCAUGCCACGGUGAAUACGUUCCCGGGUCUUGUACACACCGCCCGUCACACCAUGGGAGCUGGUAACACCCGAAGUCAGUAGUCUAACCGCAAGGAGGACGCUGCCGAAGGUGGGAUUAGCGACUGGGGUGAAGUCGUAACAAGGUAUC
rnacentral:rRNA from 1 species